AAGGUGCCCUUGGAUAG
rnacentral:rRNA from 1 species